rnacentral:rRNA from 1 species
CCUACGGGAGGCAGCAGUGGGGAAUUUUGGACAAUGGGCGAAAGCCUGAUCCAGCAAUGCCGCGUGAGUGAAGAAGGCCUUCGGGUUGUAAAGCUCUUUUGUCAGGGAAGAAACGGUGAAAGCUAAUAUCUUUUGCUAAUGACGGUACCUGAAGAAUAAGCACCGGCUAACUACGUGCCAGCAGCCGCGGUAAUACGUAGGGUGCAAGCGUUAAUCGGAAUUACUGGGCGUAAAGCGUGCGCAGGCGGUUUUGUAAGUCUGAUGUGAAAUCCCCGGGCUCAACCUGGGAAUUGCAUUGGAGACUGCAAGGCUAGAAUCUGGCAGAGGGGGGUAGAAUUCCACGUGUAGCAGUGAAAUGCGUAGAUAUGUGGAGGAACACCGAUGGCGAAGGCAGCCCCCUGGGUCAAGAUUGACGCUCAUGCACGAAAGCGUGGGGAGCAAACAGGAUUAGAUACCCUGGUAGUCCACGCCCUAAACGAUGUCUACUAGUUGUCGGGUCUUAAUUGACUUGGUAACGCAGCUAACGCGUGAAGUAGACCGCCUGGGGAGUACGGUCGCAAGAUUAAAACUUAAAUGAAUUGACGG